UGGAAGAGAAUCGUCCCCGGUGGGGCGCCCGGACUUCAAACCCGGUGAAGUUUGUUACAAGACAGGCUUGGUGGGUUCGACUCCUGCCUCUUCCGCC
rnacentral:tRNA from 1 species